rnacentral:rRNA from 1 species
UACGUAGGGUGCAAGCGUUGUCCGGAAUUAUUGGGCGUAAAGGCUCGUAGGCGGCCAACUAAGUCCGACGUGAAAUCCCAAGGCUUAACCUUGGAACUGCGUCGGAUACUGGAUGGCUUGAAUUCGGGAGAGGAUGCAGAAUUCCAGGUGUAGCGGUGAAAUGCGUAGAUAUCUGGAGGAAUACCGGUGGCGAAGGCGGCAUCCUGGACCGACAUUGACGCUGAUGAGCGAAAGCUAGGGGAGCAAACGGGG